rnacentral:rRNA from 1 species
AGUGGAUGGGGAGCAACCUAGUUGUGCGUGUGUAAAGGUAGUGCCAAGAAAAGCGAUGAUCAUGUUGAAAAUCAAUUCCCGGUACCCGAAACCGACACAGGUGGGCAAGUAGAGAAUACUAAGGGGCGCGAGGUAACUCUCUCCAAGGAACUCGGCAAAAUGACCCCGUAACUUAGGGAGAAGGGGUGCCACCGAGAGGUGGUCGCAGUGAAGAGGCCCAGGCGACUGUUUAGCAAAAACAUAGGUCUCUGCAAACUCGAAAGAGGAGGUAUAGGGGCUGACGCCUGCCCAGUGCCGGAUGUUAAAGAAGUUGGUCAGUUUUAGGAUGAAGCUAGCGACUGAAGCCCCGGUGAACGGCGGCCGUAACUAUAACGGUCCUAAGGUAGCGAAAUUCCUUGUCGGGUAAGUUCCGACCCGCACGAAAGGCGUAACGAUCUGGGCGCUGUCUCGGAGAGAGGCUCGGCGAAAUAGGAUUGUCUGUGAAGAUACGGACUACCUGCAUUUGGACAGAAAGACCCUAUGAAGCUUUACUAUAGCUUGGAAUUGUGUUCGGGCUUCCUGUGCGCAGGAUAGGUGGGAGGCGUAGAAGGUAUUCUUGUGGGGAUACUGGAGCCAACGGUGAGAUACCACUCUCAGGAGGCUAGAAUUCUAACUUAAUUAAGGACAGUUUCAGGUGGGUAGUUUGACUGGGGCGGUCGCCUCCAAAAAGGUAACGGAGGCGUACAAAGGUUCCCUCAGACUGGUUGGAAAUCAGUCGAAGAGUGCAAAGGCAGAAGGGAGCUUGACUGCGAGAAGUACAGUUCGAGCAGGGUGGAAACACGGUCUUAGUGAUCCGACGGUGCUGUGUGGAAGGGCCGUCGCUCAACGGAUAAAAGUUACUCUAGGAUAACAGGCUGAUCUCCCCCAAGAGUUCACGUCGACGGGGAGGUUUGGCACCUCGAUGUCGGCUCAUCGCAACCUGGGGCGGAAGUACGUCCCAAGGGUUGGGCUGUUCGCCCAUUAAAGCGUUACGUGAGCUGGGCUCAGAACGUCGUGAGACAGUUCGGUCCAUAUCCGAUGUAGGCGUGAGAAUAUUGAGAGGAGCCUUCCUUAGUACGAGAGGACCGGGAAGGACGCACCGCUGGUGUACCUGUUAUGAUGCCAAUUGUAAACGCAGGGUAGCCAAGUGCGGAGAGGAUAACCGCUGAAAGCAUCUAAGUGGGAAGCCCACCUCAAGAUGAGUAUUCUGGUGUAAGGUCACGGGAAGACGACCCGUAAAUAGGCACGAGGUGGAAGUGCAGAGAUGUAUGAAGCCGAAGUGUACUAAUAGACCGUCGGCUUGAUC